GCCAUUAUCAAAUAUCUUCGCAGCAAAUGAAACUUUGAAUGUAACACUUGACUCAGACAUCAGAAACUUCGAUGUGACAAAGGCUAUAGAGCUCUCAGAUACAAUAAAAUUUUCCGAAUACAACCCCGUAGCUGUUGGUAUGAUUUGCAUGAGUAUAAUCCUGGUAGUUGUCCUUGUAUUUGCUUGUUGGUUUCUAAGAACGAAUCCCUCAGAAGCCUUUGAUACUAGUUAUACAAUUUCUGAGUUUCCCAAAAAUAACUUACAGCGAAGCAGUCAUGUCCGGAGACAACAUGAAAGUGAGAGUUCUUUUUGCUUUCUAAAUGAAACAAAAUAUGCAAAUGUCUGAAAAGGAAUGACAAACUGAACAUUUGAUAUUAUUUCAUUGAUGUUAUGUGACUUUUUGUGCUGCAGUUCAUAAAGAUGUAAUUUAUUUACUUUU